rnacentral:rRNA from 1 species
UACGGGGGGAGCAAGCGUUGCUCGGAUUUACUGGGCGUAAAGGGCGCGUAGGCGGUCAGCACAAGUCAGUUGUGAAAUCUCCGGGCUUAACUCGGAAAGGUCAACUGAUACUGUGCGACUAGAGUGCAGAAGGGGCAACUGGAAUUCUCGGUGUAGCGGUGAAAUGCGUAGAUAUCGAGAGGAACACCUGCGGCGAAGGUGGGUUGCUGGGCUGACACUGACGCUGAGGCGCGAAAGCCAGGGGAGCGAACGGG